rnacentral:rRNA from 1 species
CUCGUAGGCGCCUCGUCGCGUCCGGUGUGAAAGUCCAUCGCUUAACGGUGGAUCUGCGCCGGGUACGGGCGGGCUGGAGUGCGGUAGGGGAGACUGGAAUUCCCGGUGUAACGGUGGAAUGUGUAGAUAUCGGGAAGAACACCGAUGGCGAAGGCAGGUCUCUGGGCCGUCACUGACGCUGAGGAGCGAAAGCGUGGGGAGCGAACA